rnacentral:rRNA from 1 species
ACGCUGGCGGCGUGCCUAACACAUGCAAGUCGAACGGAGCUAUUUUGGAAGUCCUUCGGGGCGGAAGAGGUAGCUUAGUGGCGAACGGGUGAGUAACGCGUGAGCAACCUGCCUUUCAGAGGGGGACAACAGUUGGAAACGACUGCUAAUACCGCAUAAUGCAACGAAGCCGCAUGACUUUGUUGCCAAAGAUUAUUGCUGAGAGAUGGCCUCGCGUCUGAUUAGCUAGUUGGUGGGGUAACGGCCCACCAAGGCGACGAUCAGUAGCCGGUCUGAGAGGAUGAACGGCCACAUUGGGACUGAGACACGGCCCAAACUCCUACGGGAGGCAGCAGUGGGGAAUCUUCCGCAAUGGGCGCAAGCCUGACGGAGCAACGCCGCGUGAGUGAAGAAGGUUUUCGGAUCGUAAAGCUCUGUUGAGAGGGACGAGAGAUAUAAUCAGGAAAUGGGUUAUAGAGGACGGUACCUUUCGAGGAAGCCACGGCUAACUACGUG